rnacentral:rRNA from 1 species
AGUGAACGCUGGCGGUAGGCCUAACACAUGCAAGUCGAACGGCAGCACAGUAAGAGCUUGCUCUUACGGGUGGCGAGUGGCGGACGGGUGAGGAAUACAUCGGAAUCUACUUUUUCGUGGGGGAUAACGUAGGGAAACUUACUCUAAUACCGCAUACGACCUUCGGGUGAAAGCAGGGGAUCUUCGGACCUUGCGCGAUUGAAUGAGCCGAUGUCGGAUUAGCUAGUUGGCGGGGUAAAGGCCCACCAAGGCGACGAUCCGUAGCUGGUCUGAGAGGAUGGUCGGCCACACUGGAACGUGGACACGGUCCAGACUCCUACGGGAGGCAGCAGUGGGGAAUAUUGGACAAUGGGCGCAAGCCUGAUCCAGCCAUACCGCGUGGGUGGAGAAGGCCUUCGGGUUGUAAAGACCUUUUGUUGGGAAAGAAAAGCAGCAGGUUAAUACCCCGCUGUUCUGACGGUACCCAAAGAAUAAGCACCGGCUAACUUCGUG